rnacentral:lncRNA from 1 species
GUUAGACUUGAUCUACACUAUUGAAAGUAUUUGAAAACUAAAUUUCAUAAUUUUUUGACAUCAUUUACCUAUCAAACAAGUAGUCUAAAAAUCAACGGCUGAAAAUAAAAAUUUUAUAAAAAAUGAUGAUAAAAGACUUGAAUUUAAGAUCAGCGAUACUGAUCUUACUCUAAAUAGUUAAAAAAAAUUUCUAUAAAAAUUUCAUUAAUUUGGAUUGUUUUACAUCGUUAAAUUUACAAAUGCAUCACAUCUAUCGUUAAAAUUGUCAAUUUUGAGACCUUUUAAUCAAUAGCCAAAUAAUGUCAAAAAAUUAUGAAAUUUAGUUUCUAAAUACUUUUAAUAGUGUAGAUCAAGUCUAACGGAGCCGAUCGUCGAUUUGAAAGCCGCAUCAUUGAAAACAACUUGGUAGCACGGAGACCUCCGUGCUACCGAUAGUAUACCAACCUAGCUCUAUAUAUAUAUAUAUAUAUAGAGGCUGGAGCUACUAUACUCUUAUGAGUAUAGACCUCCUUGUACUCAUAAAUUUUUAACCGUUGAUUGAUAGGAUGUGUGGUUAGGAUGAUGGUGGUUCCCACUUAAAAUAAUAGUGAUCCCCUAGGAUUGAGUGAGUAGUUAGUUUAAUAGUAUGAUCUAACGGGUGGAAAUGAUCAAUAAAAUAAAUUUAAAAUUUAUAAGUAUAACGAUGCCAAUACUCAUAAAAGUUGUAAUGUGAAAGCGAUGUGCGAAUACUGUGAUU